AGAAGGGUUUGUGCAUCUAGGCUGCCCAAGUCUCCAGGCCCCAGCCUAGGAUCUAAGGAAAACGCAACCUCAGGUUUCCAUAGACUCGGGCAGCACCUCUGCAUCUGUGAUUGGCUAAUUUUACUUUGUACGACGACAUGUUCAAGACUUAAUCCUUACAUACUCCUCCACCUCGUGAGUUUCAGAAGGCCCAGCACAAGGCAGCUGUCUGCUGUGUCAUCUCGGGUCAUUCCAACCUGCACAGGACAGCAACUUCUAGGCCACUUGCAAGAUAGGUGCGAAUGUCAAGGUCUGGAACGACUCAACCCAAGUAGCAGUGACAAUCAGUGGAUCUUUAAAAUAAAAGACACACUAAUUUUUUAUAUUUAUUUAUUUUUGACUAUGGGGUGGACUACCAUGAAGCUUGUGUGAAGGUCAAAAGUCAACUUAUGGGAGUCAGUUCCUCCAACAGAACCACAUCUACUCCAACAAGGCUACACCUUCAUUAGUGCCACUCCCCUUGGGGGGUGAUUUUCUUUCAAACCACCCCAGGGUCAUUAAAAAGUGAGCAGUAAAUUGUACCUCCAAUAAAAAAGAUGUGUUUAUAUGCCUACUAUAGUUUAGAUUUUUAAAUAUGCUAAUAUAGGUAUAGAAAAUAACAUUAGAAAAAUCAUUACAACCAUAUUUAACCAGAAAAUACAUAAUGGGUAACAAA